GCCCAAGUGGUGGAAUUGGUAGACACGCUAGCUUGAGGGGCUAGUGGGGGCGACCCCGUGUCGGUUCGAGUCCGGCCUUGGGCA
rnacentral:tRNA from 1 species